GUACUUCCUUUGGCAUUGCAUGUACUAAAAUUGAAACGAUACAGAGAAGAUAAGCAUGGCCCUGCGCAAGGAUGAUAUGCGAAAUCGUGAAGCGUUCCACAAUUUU